CCCCCAGCAACAAAUUUGCCCUGGCAGCAUAUGGGUGAAAACGCUGGAGUGAUUAUCAAUAGGAGACAGUCAUUGCUUUGUUAUUGGCUCUUGGACUCCCCUGGCAUCUCGUGUACCGCAUCAAGUUUCCAGCUAUGAAGUUUAAUGUAGAUUUCCUGAGACUCCAGAAUGAAAACCAAGAAUCUGGAG